UUAAACUUUAAUUCCAUAACAAGAAAUAGGGUGAGAGGUUCUUACUCGAAUUGGUAUACAAAUACCUCUACUGGCGGUCCCCAAGUUCCCUGAAUUUUUCUUUAGGGAUUAGAACACGCAUCAAGUACCUAGAAAUACUCCCAAAAAAUCCAAAAUCAGUGUUAGAAACCCUUUUUGGUCAAUUUCAAAAUUCCAGCACGGCGGCUCUGCCGUGCUCCAGCGACGGCACCGCCGCCCACGGUAGU
rnacentral:lncRNA from 1 species